GUGAUCUGUGAUGGUUCUUUCUUUGCAAGGUGUACAUGCCACAACAGAUCACUAUCCAAUCCAAAUCCACUUCCCGGUGUCUCCUUCCUAGAAAUAGCCCUCCCUCAAGUCCUCAUCUUUCAGUCUCAUCUUGUGUCUAUGAUUGUGCAUGCGUUCCUUUCUCAGUUGACAGCCACUGCGAAGUUCUCUUCAAAGGAGACUUCAUUCCCAAAAUGCACUAUUGAUCCUUGUUAAUUUCUUUCUGUUUCACCCUUUAUUGAUACGAUGACCAAUUGAUCUUUCCAUUAUUUGGUGAUUUCGCAGUGGUUUCUUUCCCUCCGGAGCGAAACUGUUUGUCAGUUUAAUUCGAAACAAUUUGGUGAUUGAUUCGUCAUUGAUUGAUCUUUCCAUAUAAUUGUAUUAUGUUCUGGUAUUCACUAUUCCGUGAAUUGGCAGUGGCUUCUUUCUUCUUGGAGCAAUCAUGUUUGUCUGAGGACAAUGAACACAAUGCAGUUGGUCAGUUGGUUACAUAGAAUGAGACCUUUGGGCCUUAUGGAAGACCAAUGAGCUAACCUUACACUAUUUGGUUGAGCUGAUGAUCCUAAAGUCUUUGUAUUUAGGACUAGAAGUCUUUGUCUCUAGGACGAGCAAUGGACUGAAAUUUUGACAACCUUCUACUUUUACAGGUUGAAAGUUUUACUGGAUUUGACAGCUGGUGAUCUGGUGCGUUCCCUGAGGGGCUUAGUUGAAAAUUGUUUGGAAUUGGAAGAGCUCUCGCUUCUUGGAUUUUAGGCAGUUAUUGGUUUCAAUGGAACUUGUCCCUCACUUCUGUUAUUUUCUACUGAAUCCCAAAGGUCAGAUCUAGUUCUCUUGCUUUUGCUGAACAGAGUUUGGUUGAGGCAAUACUUUACAUGGCCAAGUUCGAUGUGGAGUGUCUGUGAUCAGUGAUGUUCUUCCCUGUUGCACAGAGAUUCUUAGGGUUUUUCUUGGCCUAUGAUGCCUAUUGGUUAUUGGAAUUCUUUGGUUUACACCUCGUCCUUUGAUCGCUUAGUGAUUCUUUGACCAAUCUAUUGAACUCUGUGUUGUCAUAUUCUGGAUUCUUGUUGUUUGGUGAAUUGGCAGUGUGGCGUCUUUCCUCCUGAAUCAUAAUCUCUUGACAUCUGAGGAUGUCGUUAUAGGAAGUGUUUGAUUUAGCUCCUCCUUUGAACCUUUAUGGAUACAAUGACUGAUUGACCUUUCCAUUAUCUGGCAAAUUCACAGCGGUUUCUUUUCCCUCAGAGUGAAACUGUUUGUGUGAGGAUGUCAAGGACGAUGAAUACUAUGAAGGCUGUGUCUUGGAUGUUUGGCUUUUCGGAGGACCAGUGAUCCUUUUGCUGUUUUUCAUUUUUUCGGUUGAGAUGAUGAGUUAGUAGUCUUUGAUCAUGUCUGUUGAGAAAUAUUGUGAGUAAUAAGGGUAAAAUAGUAACUUAGUUAUAACUUAGUUAUGAGUAGGGUAAAAUAGUAAUCAGGGUAUAUAUAUAUAUAUACAUUUGUAACCCUUUUUCAUUUUGAUUAUUAGAAAACAAUUAUCCUUCACAUGGUAUCAGAGCCACACUUUAAAAAAUAAAAAAAAUAAAAGCCCUAGCCCCAGAUUACCGGAGACCACUGUUCCGUCACCGGAAAAGGCCGUGCCUCCGGCCGGCAACCUACGAUGUUGAUCAGUGACCCCAGCUGUCAUCGUUCGAGUCCCACCUUGGGAACGCAUUGAUCAGCCUUGUGGUUGCUGCUCGUUUCCCUAUCAUCGCAAAUCCUUCUGUCAAACCUUGCUGAUUAGUUCCAUAUGAGAGUCCUCCGACUAAAAUCUUAGAAGACAACAUGCAUCUUAUGGUCUGGCCAUGAUGAUGACCUUUGUGAACGUCUUCCCCUGCUAAAACCCUAUUUCUCAACAAUGUUUAAGACCUGGCGAUAGACUGAAAUUUACUGGGUUUGAUGGGAAUUUGUUCUUCAGAUUUUUUAUCCUGGGGAGUUUAUUAUCAUCCUGUCCUGAUUCACUCAGAGGUUGGAGUCUUACCAGACUUGACAAGUGGUGAUUUGCCAUGAUCCGAUGAUUGUCUGAAAUUGGAUAAGUUCUUUGGUUUCAUGAGGCAGUUCUUGGUUUGAAUGAAACAUGUCCUUUACUUCUAUUAUCUUCUUGUUAAUCCAAAAGAUCAGAUCUAUUUUUCUUCCCUUCUUAGAUCAGAGUUCAGUCAUGGCAAUACUUUACAUGGCCAAGUUUGAUAUGGAGUGUCUGGGAUCAGUGAUGUCCUUUCUUGCUGUAUAUACAUACACAUCAAUUCCUAAUUUGUCUUCCACUUCUGUUAUCUUCUAGUUAAGGUGGAACGAUCAGAUAUGUUCUCUUUCCUUACGCGGGUCAGAGUUUGGUGGAGGCAAUAGUUUACCUUUUCAAUUUCGAUAUGGAGUGUCUGUGAUCGGUAUUGGUUUGUUCUUGCUGCAUAAGCAUCGAUUCAUAGGGCAAGCUCUUCUUUCAGAGUUCUUUCUUGUCUGGAAAGGUCCACACAAGUUCAAGCUUGUUUCUCUCCCCAUUAUUCUGUAAGACUCCUGAUGUGGACUUUCAACUGCAUAACUCACGACUUGAUCUGGUUCUCAUUUUCCAGUGUUCUUUCCCCUUAUGAACAAAAAUUUUAGUGGGGGUGAAUAAAAAUGAAAUUUUGAAGUUCCCUUGCCAUUGAUCAACGGCUCUCUGCUACCUUUCACCGGCUUUAAGAAUGGCAAAUUCAAUCUGGUGAAGAUGGUUGGUGAGACUGAGGUUUUAUCUGGUUCUGAUCACGAUCCACUGUCAUUAAGUUGGGCAAUGUGGAAACAAAUUGCUUUUUAUAUGGAAAUGGUAUCUUUUUGGAUUUUAACAGCUAUGGAAUUUGUUUGAGACAGAGAAAAUGUGCUAAUUGCAGGAGUCUUUCAAUUAUUUCAUAGUUAUUAUAAGGAUAUUACUCGACUUGUGGCUGGAUAUUUAGCAUUUGGUGCACUCCCUUGCUGGUAAUUUCACUUGAGUUCUGAAGCAGUCUCUGAUCACAUCUUCACGGCGGGGAUGGACUGAAAUUUUGAAGAUUUCUAGGCAUUUGUAGUUUUAAUUUAAGUUUGUCUUGAGUUGAUUAUCUUCGGGGAGCAGUGAUAAAAUUUUUUUUGGAGUUCUGGUUAAAGUUUUGCUAGGUUUGAGAAGUGGUGAUCUAUUGCGUUCUUUUGUAGGGCUUAGUUGAUUGUUUGAAAUUGGACAAAUAGCUGCUUUGUGGAUUCUAGCCAGUUAUUGGUUUGAAUGAAGUUUGUUUGCCGCUUCUGCUUUUUUCCAUUUAUGGUGAACAAUCAGGGCCUAGGUCUCUUUCCUUUGAUGCAAGCCUCUUCUGGUCUGAUGUGGGCUGUCUUCAGUCAAUAAUGGUUCUUUCUACAUUUAAUUUAAUAGGCUUUUCUUUCUUUGACCUUCUAUUGGCUUUUUUUGUUUUUGGAAAAUGGAUAUUCAUUGACUAUCUUCCAUUCUAGGGAUUGUUUAUAAGUCUGGAAAGCUUGAGAUCCACAAAGUUCUGGCUUGUUUCUAUUUGUCCUUGCAAUGCAUGCUGCAAUCACUAAAUUGAUUGCUGGUAAAUCAUGGAGAUAUUGCAAGUGCAAUUUAAUUCUCUUGCCUUUUUUAUUCCUUUGGAGUUCAGAGUUUAGCCUAUUUGUGGUCUGUGAUGGUUCUUUCUUUGCAAGGUUUACAUGCCACGACAGAUCACUAUCCGAUCCAGAUCCACUUGCCAGUGUCUCCUUCCUAGAAAUAGCCCUCCCUUGUGUCCUCAUCCUUCAAUCUCAUCUUGGGUCUAUGAUUGUGCAUACGUUCCUUUCUCAGUUGACAGCCUCUGCAAAGUACUCUUCAGAGGAGACAUCAUUCCCUAAAUGCUCUUGAUCCUUCUUCUUUUCUUUUUGUUUCUUGAUUAAUUGUUAAAUCGGUCUGAUUUGUAUGCUAAUUUUCCAAAGGUUACUCUCGCCUCUCUGGGAGUCUGCCAUGUUAUGGGUAUCAUUAGGGUUUGCUCUCGUCUAAUUGGUGAUUGAUUCAUCAUUGAUUGAUCUUUCCAUUUAAUUGCAUUAUGAGCUGAUCCUUAUAUUCAUUAUUCCGUGAAUUGGCCGUGGCUUCUUUCUUCUUUGAGCGAUUAUGUUUGUCUGAGGACCAUGAGCACAAUGCUACUGGAUAGUUGGUUACAUAGAACAAGACAUUUGGGCUUUUUGGAGGACUAAUGAUCUAAUCUUGCACUGUUUAGUUGAGCUGAUGAUGUGGUAGUCUUAGUCUUUAGGACAAGCGAUGGACUCAAAUUUUGACAAUCUUCUAUGUUUCUUUUACAGGAUUUGACAAUUGGUGAUCUGUUGUGUUCUCUGUAGGGCUAAGUUGAUAAUUUUUUGGAAUCAGACGAGCUCCUCCUUCUUGGACUUUAGCCAGUUAUUGGUUUGAAUGGAACUUGUCCUUCACUUCUAUUACUUUUAGUUUAUCCCAAAGAUCAGAUCUAGUUCUCUUCCUUCCAUAGAUCAGAGUUUGGUUGAGGCAGUACUUUACGUGGCCAAGUUCAAUAUGGAGUCUCUGUGAUCAAUGAUGUGUUCUUCCUUUUUGCAUAAGCAUCAAUUCCUAAUUUUUCUUCCACUUCCAUUAUCUCCUAGUUAAGGAGGAAUAUAAGAUGUUCUCUUUCCUUUGCAGGUCAGAGUUUGGUCAGGGCAAUAGUUUGCCUCAUCAAGUUUAUGGAGUGUCUUGGAUCAGUAAUUGUUCUUUCUUUUUGCAUAAGCAUCAUCAAUUCAUAGGACAAGCUGUUCUUUCAAAGUUCUUUCUUGUCUGGAAAGGUCCACACAAGUUAAGCCCGUUUCCCUUCCCUUAUCUGUGUGCUGAGAUCACUAAUUGGGUCUCCGGUAAAUCGUGGAGAUAGCAUAUGUAAGAUGUAUAUGUCAUGCUCUUCUUCCCUAUCAUGGGACUGGCUCCAGGGAUUGCCUACUUAGCUUCACCUUUCUUUUUACACGGCUUCUGUGUUUUCUUUUGGUUUAGAACAAGAGGUCAUAAUGUGCUCUUUAUGUGCAAGAGGUUGUUUGAGUUGGUUGGACUUUGUCAAUGGCCACUGGUUAUCGGGACUGAAUGCUUAUUGCUGAAGGAAUUGCUUUUACUUGGUGCAUACUGGUAUCUUCUUAUUUGGAAUGGCAUACUUCAGAUAUCUAUUACGAUUCACUUUCUUAAUCUUUGUUAUUUUGUUUCUAGAUUUCAAUGGUUGCUGAACCAAUUACUUUCUCGGUCUUAUUUCUGAAGCAUCUGGCUUGUUGCAUAAGCUUAAUUUCUCGUGCUCCCAUUGCCUAUUUGGGACUUUGCCAUGGUCAUGGACAUCAUUAGGGUUUACUCUCCUCAUUUGACCAUUUAUUAAUUGAUUGGUUGGUCGGACAUCAUUAUGCUUUAUUCUAUUUGGUUGUUUUACGAGCAGAUUCUGGAUCUUUUAUUUAGUUGAUUGGAAGCAACUUCUUCUCUGAUGGACCAAUCUCUACUUCCAAGGAUGUCAUGUAAGGAACAGUAAAUAUGAUUAGUUUGGUCAAUUGUUCCAUAGUAUAAAGCAUUCGAGCUUUUCUUGGGAUUGACGAUUCUUUGGCAGUAUAAUGUUGGGUUGGUGGAUGAGGAGUACUGGGUGUUGAACUGAAACUUCUAAUAAUUUCUUGCAUGGACACUUAUGUUUCUUUUUUUUUAAAUUCAUUCUUUCAUUAUUGAUCUUUGGUUAGUAGCAAGAAUCGAGAUGAUAAUUGUCUAUCCCUAAUUGCUUUAGGUUGAAGGUUUGCUGAAUUUGAGAAGUGCCAAUCCUUUGCCUUUUUUGCAACGCUGAGAGGAUGAAUUGUGGAGACCAGGUUUUGUUUGAAAUGGGAUAAUCUUUUAUUUAUUGCAUUCUGGACAGUAAAUGGUUCCAUUAGUGUUGACCCAAUCAUCAUCAUCAUCAUCAUAAUAAUAUUAAAGCAAGAGGAUCACCAUUAAGUUCUCUUUCUUUUAUGGUCAGAAAUUGGUUAAAGCAAAGACCUUUUCCUUAAUGAAAUAAUUAUGCAUGUUAUUUAUCAUUGACUUUUUCCUUUUCAACGUACUUUGUUGAACACUCACUUGGAAAUACGUUUCUUGCAUAUGCAUUUCUGUUGACUUGGUGUGUAUGUAUGCUUGAAGUUUGUGUCUAUGUUAAAUUGGUAUAUUUGAAGAAUUUCUCUCACGUUUACUUUGUGUUUAUAUCAGAUAGAUUGAUGUCAUCUAGAUGGUAAUUUCUUAUGCUGAGUUAUUAUUUUGGUGUUACUUAUUGCUCUUUUUUCUCUAUGUUAUUUGGUACUUGCAGGAUAGGUUAUUUUCCAAAAAAAAAAAAAUUGUUUUUCACACUUCUUUUUUGUGGUAACAUUUUCCUUUUGCCAAAACUUUUCCAAAUGUUAUAACAUGUAGUGUUUUCACUUAUAAAGCGAUGUUGUGGAUGGCUCAUCAAUAGAUUUAUCUUUCCAUUAAAUUGUUUAACAAGAUUUUUUUGGAUUUCACGGUGGAUUGGCAGUUGCAUCUUUCCUCAUGGAGCGCGAUCUCUUUGUUGGAGCAUGUCGUCUAACGUUGAUAAAUACAUAGAAGCUGGUCAGUUUACAUAAUAUAAGGUGUUUGGGCUUCUUGGAGGAGUGGUGAUCUAUUAUGCAGUCUUUGUUUUGAACUCUGAAGUAUCUUUGUUCAAAUCUUCAGCAUGGACAAUGGACUGAAAUUUUGAAGAUUUCUAGGCUUUUUGUUGUUUUAAUUUUAGUUUGUCUUCAGUUGAUUAUAUUCAGGGAGCAGUGAGAUAAUUAUUGUCGAGUUCUAAUUCUUCUAGAGGUUGAAGUUUUACCAGGUUUGAGGAGUGAUGAUCUAUUGCGUUCUUCUGUGGGGCUGAUUGACGAUUGUUUGAGAUUGGACAAGCAGCAGCUUGGUGGAUUAUAGGCAGUAUUGAAAUUUUGAAGAUUUGUAGGCUUUUUGUAGUUCUCAUUUAAGUUUGUCUUUAGUUGAUUCACUUCAGGGAGCAGUCAGAUUAUUAUUGGCAAGUUCUAAUUAUUCUACAGGUUGAAGUUUUGCCGGGUUUGAGAAGUGGUGAUCUAUUGCGUUUUUCUGUGGGGCUGACUUGAUGAUUGUUUGAAAUUGGACUAGCAGUCACAUAGUGGAUUCGAGGCUGAUCUGAAUGAAGUUUGUUCUCUGCUUCUGCUUUUUUCUUGGUUUUGGUGAGAUGAUUAGGGCCUAGUUCUCUCUUGUUUGAUGCAAACCUCUUGUGGUUCGAUGUGGGCUUUCUNNNNNNNNNNNNNNNNNNNNNNNNNNNNNNNNNNNNNNNNNNNNNNNNNNNNNNNNNNNNNNNNNNNNNNNNNNNNNNNNNNNNNNNNNNNNNNNNNNNNGUCUGUGAUGGUUCUUUCUAGCUCCUAAUCUUUAUCUCAUUUAACAAGAUCUUCUUCCUUUAGAGAUUCUAUUGGCUUUUCUUUUUUGCUUUCUUUUCUUCUUCUUUUUUUUGGUGAAAUUGUAGUUUUUCUUGUACUUGGAAGAUGAUAAUCAUUGACUACCCUCCAUUUUAGGGAUCAUUUGUGAGUCUGCAAAGCUUGAGGUCUACUAAGUGCUGGCUUGUUUCUCCUCAUUCUUGUAAUGCAUACAUGCUGCAAUCACAAAAUUGAUUGCUGGUAAAUCAUACAGAUAUUGCAUGUUAUCUGUCUUGCUCCCCCCCGCCCCCCCCCCCCCCCCCAAAAAAAAAAACAACCGGCAUGAAUGCUAGCUUCACACAAUUCCCGGGGCUUUCAUUCUAUACAAUUGAUGUGUUUUCUUUUGGUACAGAACCUUUGGUGGAAAUUUUCAUUUACGCUCCUUUGAUUUGAUUGAUGGAUUGAUCCAUCCUUCUGUUGUUUCAUGAGCUGUUUCUGGAUUUUUAUAAUCCAGUGGAUUGGCAGUAGGUUUUUUUUUUUUUUUCCUUCACAUAGCAAUCUCUUUGAUUAAGGAUGUUGUCUAACGAAUGGUACAUAUGAUGAGGUUGGUCAAUUUUUACUCAGAAUAGCUGAGCUUUUCUUGAGUUUGACGAUCUCUUCACAUCUAUCUUUGGUUGGGUAUGGCCAGUGUUCUUGAUUAUCUUCAGGACUGGGUGAAAAACUGCAAUUUUGAUAAACUCCUGCUGCGUAGGCACUUGGUGAAGAACUAAAUUUUGAUGAUCUAUUGCCUUUUCUGUGUUGGCUGAGCUGAUGAAUAUCAGUGUCUGGGCUUUGUUCGACAUUGGACAAGCUCCCACUCCUUGGAUUUUGGUUCUUUUGAUGUGUUCACUCUCAAUGUGUAUUUAUAUGGAUCAGUCCCUAAUCAAUUGAUAUUUUGGCCAUGCUUUAAUGAUAAUGUGUGCGAGAACUAGUGAGGUUUGAUGUCCUCUCUCAUUCCUUUGAUGCAAACCUCUUCCGGUUGAAUGUGUACUGUCUUCGAUCUAUGAUGGUUCUUCCUAGCUCCGUAAUCUUUAUUUCAUUUGACAAGAUCUUCUUUCUUUUGAGAUUCUAUUCGCUUUUCUUGUAUUUGGAAGAUGAAUAAUCAUUGACUAUACUCCAUUCUUUCAAUGCAUGCUGCAAUCCCAAAAUCGAUUGCUGUUAAAUCAUGCAGAUAUUGCACGAUACUCGUCUUGCUUCUCCCCCCCCCCCCCCCCCAAAAAUACUAGGUUCACAGAAUACCCAGGGAUUACAUUCAUACGAUUGAUGUGUUUUCUUUUAAUACAAAACCUUUGGUGGAACUUUUUCAGUUAUCAGGGGAUUCUUAUGCUUUAGGUGGUUGGGGAGGAGUUGUCGUGAACAUUGUUAGUGUUUAUGCUCCUCCUUUGAUUUGAUUGAUGGAUUGAUCCAUCCUUCUGUUGUUUAAUGGGCUUUUUCUAGAUUUUUAUAAUCCAAUGGAUUGGGAGUAGAUUUUUUUCUCAUGGAGCGAUCUCUUUGAUUGAGGAUGUUGUCUAAGGAAUGGUACAUAUGAUGAGAUUGGUCAAUUAUGACUUAGAAUAACUGAGCUUUUCUUGAGUUCGACAUUCUCUUCACGUUUAUCUUUGGUUGGGUUGGUGGAUGGGCAGUGUCCUUGAUUAUCUUCAGGACCAGGUGAAGAACUAAAAUUUCGAUGAACUCCUAUGGCGUAGGUGUUUUACCAGAUUCUAGAAGUGAUGAUCUAUCGCCUUUUCUCUGUGGCUGAGUUGAUGAAUUGUGGUGUCUGGGCUUUGUUCCAAAUUGGAUAGGCUCCCACUUCUUGGAUUUUGGUUCUUUUGAUGUCCUCACUCUCCAUGUGUAUUUAUAUGGAUCAAUCCCAAAUCAAUUGAUAUUUUGGCGAUGCUUUAACAGAAACUCCAUGUUGCUGAGAUCCUUGAGGGUUUCACCUGGCCUCUUUGGGACAAUGCCUGUGGUCAUUGGAAUUAUCUUAUUGAUCGACUGAUUGGUCUUCGCAAUAUUGUUUUUACCAGCUUAUUCUGGAUUCUCGUUAUUCGGUGCUUUAGUGUGGCUUAUUUCCUCUUGGACCACAUCUCUUUCGUCUGAGGAUGGUCAUUAUGGGAAGUGUUUGUUUUAGCUCCUCCUCUGAUCCUUAAUCACUCUAUGGACUUUCUAUACAAUUGUUUUAUGAGCAGCUCCUGGAUUUCGUUAUUUGGUGAAUUCACAGUGGAUUCUUUCCCCUUGAAGUGAACUGGUUAUCUAAGGGGAUGUCAAGGACGACGAAUACUAUGACAUUGGUCAGUUUGUUUCAUAAAACACGGAUGUUCGGGCUUUCUGGAGCACCGAUGAUCCUUUUUCUGUCUUUUCUUUGGUUGAGACAAUCAAUUAUUAGUCUUUGAUGUCACAUCUAAGAGUUGGGGAUAGACUCAAAUUUACUGGUUUUGAUGGGAAUUUGUUCUUCAGUCAUAAACUUCACAAUGAAGAUUUUCGAUAGCAACAUCUUUAAAAAUGGAAGUAAACAUAGUACUAAGAAGACAAUGGAUGUGUUAAUUGAAAAGGAUGAAGCCAAAUUUGAGAUAAGCAAAUAAGAUUACAAGAGUUGUAAGAGGUAUUAUAUUCCACAAGAGACCAACUAGUUCUGCUCGAAUCUUCAAGGUAGUGGAGCCCAUUCCGUUCCUUAACAAAUCCAAUCAUCCUCCUCGUUUUCAAGUCCUACAAAAAACAACAAUCAAUAAAGAAAAACACCUUACAAGUCAGAUUUUUGGUAAGUUGAUGAAUGGAAAGGAGAUUGGUGGACAACUUAGGAACAUGAAGUACAUUGUCAAGUUAAAGUGAGGGAUUUAGAAUUAUGGUUCCUUAGCCAGCUAUAGUAAUAGGAGAUCUAACUAUUAUGGUAAUACUCCUAUAUCUUGGUGAUGGUUUAUAAGUUUUGUAUAGUUGGUUGCACUUGAAUCAAGAAUCCAUGAAUUAGGGUAAUGAGAAAUUGUUGAGUUUUUGGAAAUUAGGCACACAUCUGGCACACAUCUGACUAAAUUAAUAAACAUAUAUUACAAAACUUAGAUAAGAGGAAGUCAAGGAGAGUGCUGAUUUUACCAACUUUUAGCUCUAUUGAGCACCUGCGUUCUUCUAUGAAGCUUGAAGUAAUUUCUCUUGUAUGGCAUGGCUUUUUGCAGAAACUACACCAUAAACCUUCACUAUUCGUUGUCUUAAUCAAAUCCGUUCUCUUAUUUUUUCUACUAAGGAUUUGUUUUCUCCUUAAUUGCUUUCAUGGCCGAUCUUUCAAGGUGUUGGUCUUCAAGCAUUAUAGUCCAUCAGCUUUCUUCUUAUCCUAUAGUAGAAAAAACUUCAUUCAAGGAUGACAGUUGCUUCUUUCCAAUAAUCUCAACUUGAAUCUAAUCAAAAUUCGCAUUCAAACUUGCUAAAAACUCAAAAAUCCUCUCUCUCCAUAUGGUUUUGAAGAAUAUUAGUAUCUUAAGAACACAUCAUUGUAUAUUUGGAUUGUGAUCUAUUUCAAGCUAGAGACCUUUCAUGAGAUUGUAAUUGUACAAGGCUUAACUCUAAGCAUAUAAAUACUCCUUUUACUCACAAUAACACAAAAUUCUCUCUUUACCAAUAACAAAGACAUUUGGAAGAUAAACAUGGGAAAUUGUUUAUAGGCCAAGGGGAAAAUCUAGUUGGUUGCAAGUGAGUAUUCGCUGUAAAGUACAAGAUAGAUGGCUCUCUAGAGAGGUAUAAAGCAAGAUUGGUUGCAAAGAGUUACACUCAAAUAUAUAAAAGUGGAUUAUUAAAAGACAUUUCAACCGAUGGCUAAAAUGAACACUAUAAGAAUUUUAUUGUCUUUAGCUACUCAUUUUGAUUGAAAACUUCAACACUAUGAUGUAAAGAGUAAGUUUUACAUAGAGAUUUGGAAAAGGAAAUCUACAUGAGCAUCCCACCUAGUUUUGAAGGAAAAUAAAUAAUAGAAAAGGUUUGUAGACUUAAAGAAACACUACACAAGUUCAAGCAGUCACUUAGAGCUUGGUUUGGAUAGUUUGCUAGACUCAUGAAGGCAUCUGGGUGUAAACAAGCAAAGGAGAUCAUACAAUGUUCAUAAAACACUUGGACGAAGGGGGAGUUACAAUACUGUUAGUGUAUAUUGAUGACAUAGUAGUCAUGAGCAAUGAUGACAGGGAGAAAUGGUGCUUGAUUAAGGUGUUUGAAAUAAAGAAGUUAUGAAAAAUACGGUAUUUUAUGGGAAUUGAAUUUUCAUACUCAAGGCACAAGGUAUUUAUUUCACAAUGAAAGUAUGUGACAGAUCUUUUGCAAGAAACCAGGAAGAUUGGUUGCAAACAAGUAAGUAGUUACUCUGAUUGAGCUGCACCAAAGGCUAGCCGAAGCAAAAUUGGAGGUAGCAGUGGAUCAAGAAAUAUAUUAGCUAUUUGUGGGAAAGUUAAUCUAUCUCACUCACACCCCACCAGAUUUCUCCUAUGCAGUAAGCUUGAUUAGUUAAUUCAUGCAUAAUCCAAAUGAGUCACAUCUACAAGUUAUUCAUCGAGUCUUAUACUACUUGAAAAAGAGUCCAAGAAAGGGAAUACUUUUCAAGAAGAGUCUAGGUCUCAAGCUUGGGGCUUGUAUAGAUGUGGAUUAUGCUAGAUCUAUGGUGGAUAGGAGGUCUACAACUAGUUAUUGUACCUUCCUUGGAGGUAACUUGGAGAAGUAAGAAUAAAAUGUGGUGGCAAGGUCAAAUGCAGAAUUUGAAUUUAGAGCAACGACUCAAGAAAUAUGUGAGUUAUUAUUGCUCAAGAUCAUUCUUAAUGAUUUGAAGGUUAAGUGGCAAAGUCCUAUGAAGUUAUAUUGUGACAAUAAGUCUACAAUUAAAAUUGCUCAUAAUCCUAUCCAGCAUGAUAAGACGAAACAUAUUGAAAUUGAUAAACACUUCAUCAAGGAAAAACUUGAAGAAUGACUGAUUUGUUUGUCUUAUGUCCAACAAGUGAUCGAUGUCUUGAGCAACGGGUUCAAUGGCGAAAGUUUUCACAAGCUAAUUACCAAGCUGGGAAUGAAAGAUAUCUAUUCACCAACUUGAGAGCGAGUCUUAAGUUGUAAAUAGUCAUAUUGUAUGACUGUAAAUACAUUAGGAAUUUUUUAUUUAGGAAUUUUUUAUUUUAUUUGCUUCCUUUUUGUUUGCUUGGAUUGCUCUAUGUAUUAGCCUACAAAUAUAACACUAUAAAGUAAUAGAAUAUAUGAAUGAGAAUAAGAAUUUCUCUCUAUCUUACAUUCCAUGCUCAGCAAUGGGGUAGCCAUUGAAUUUGCUAGAGUGUAGCUAUGGCGGAUAAGUUGGCUUAGAGAUAGUGCAAUUCUAUCUUGAUGGAUAGAGGAUUACCUAAUCCCUCAAGCAGGGAGGGAUGUCUUGAGAUUCCAGAAUAUAUUUUGCCAGGGAGAAGGUGAAUCAAGAUAGCUACCAUAUUGUAAUUCUUGAUUCGUAAUAAUGAUAAUGUGCUCCUUUUCAUCCGUGGAUGUAGGUUCCACGUAAAAUUUCGUGUGCAUAUUUUGACAAUUUUUUUUUUUUGUCCAUGGUUUAGGUUAAAAAGAAAUGACAAAACAGAAAAAGUAACUAAGAAUCAUGUUGUGUGGUUUUCUUAAUCUCAAACUAAAGAUUUGUAUAAGUAGCAACCAGUGAAGAUGGUUUCUCUAUUUUUUUAUUUUUUUUUUUGUGAAAGAUAAUAAAUAUAUUGAGAAGAGGCCAACUAUACACAAGAUCACGGCUUCAAAACUUGCACUCCAAAUGAAAAGAUCAAAAGGAGUGGAAGGAUGCCAUGAUGUAAAACCCACGGAUACACGGCACACACCCUACAAUGCAAUGCCAAAGCCAAGCACGACAUAGACACCGACAUUCAAAACAAAAAAACGAUAGCCAGGGAGGAGGGAGGAGAGUAGCCCACGGCUCCCAAGCGAAGAGGCUUUGACAAGGCUACGGUCCCCAAAGAAAAUGAUCAGAUCAUUAUCCAAACUUCAUUGCAACCUUAUAUUCCUAAAAUUAUCUUCAGCAUUCCUGAGAGGUGAUAGUCUUGUCUCAUAUCACUUUGAAAAGAUGGUUCUUCAUGGUCGGAACCGUAAGAGGUUGAUCUCUGAAAAUGAUGCUAUUCCUAUUUUUCGAAAUGAUAUGACAAAGCAUCGAAGGAAAAACGGCCAAUGCAUUUAUAAAAAUCUUUACCCAUAAAAAAGGUAGCAGCCCAAUGUAUAUUCUCUCUCUCCAAGACCUAUUGCGCCAAGGCAAAGCACAUCUAGCAGCCCAAAAGAAAGCGACACUAGCCAUGACAUCGCAGCCAAAGAAUAGACAAUCAAUCGAGUCAAGCAUACCCUUGCAAAAAUGCAAGCCUUGCUAGCUAUUCUUCCAUGAGAAAGUAGGAGAGCUUAGGUGGGAAGCCUAUGAUUGGCAAUGAGCCAAAGGUUAAGUAGAUACCAAGGCAAUAUGGCAUUGUUCCAAACGAAGGCAUGCCAGUAGACUCGAGCCCUCUUCUGUCUGACAGAAUCCCAUGUCGAAGCCAUUGUGAAACGGCUCGACGAGCUAUCCCUCCAGCAACAGCAAUCCGAGUUCUAAGAGAGGGUUAGGAGUGGAAAACCCCACGACUCAAUCACAGCCUUAAGAGCUUGCCCAUCAUCUAAGAAGAGAUUAGCCACAGAAGCCUAUCCGGAGAGCUUUGAACUGUAGAUAAGUUAGUCCAAAAAAAUCAAGUCCCAAAGCCCCCUAGGGUAGCAAUUAUCAAAACAUAAAGAGGUUGAGAGCCCAUCGCCAAUUUCUUAGAAGAAGGCCUUCCGGAAAUCGUUCCUGAGGUUCAACAGGCUCUUCCAAGCCCAAGAACAAUAAGCUAGCUUCCUCACUAACCACAAGUUCUUGUUUUUAAGAAGGUGGAAUGAAUCCAUCUACACCAGAGCACCUCCUUGUUUGAAAACAGAAGUCAAAUAUACUUCAACAUCACGGCCAUAUUGCAGUCUCUGAGUGUCCUAAUACCAAACCCUCCCUCCUCUUUUGGAAGGCCAACAUCAUUGCAAGCUACAUUGGCACCACCUGUACCCAACUUCAGGCCUUUCCACUGCAAUUGUCUAAAUAGUUUCUCAAUCUGGUCCAACACAGCUAUAGGUAGAACAAAAACACUCGCCCAGUAGGCUUGUAUGGCAUGAAGAACUGACUUGAUGAGCUGAAGUUGUCCAGCAAGAGAGAGAAAGCGGUGAGUCCAAGACUGGACCCUCGUUGUAAUACGAUUGACAAGGGCACAACAAUAUCCUUCACUAAGCCUUGAAGUAAUAAUUGGAACCCCAUAUAACGAACUAGCAAGUUGCCUUCAUGGAAUCCAAAUUCGGAGAUAAUGUAAUUCCUUAAAGAAGGCGCACCUCCCGUCGAGAAUAUUUUACUUUUGCUUGGAUUUGGAUAUAAGUCACUCCAAGAGGAGAAGAUUUGAAGACUUUCUUUGAGGAGAACUACUGUAGGUAAAUCAGCCUCACAAAACAAAAAGACAUCACCUGCAAAAAAUAGAUGGGAAAGACUCGUAGCCUUACAUCUCUAGAAAAAUUUAAACUCCGAUCUCGAAGAGUACCUAACCAAGAUUCCUAAAUGCACCUCCAUAAUCAAAGUGAAAAGAUAAGGAGAGAUGAGAUCACCUUAGCAAAGGCCACGACCAGUCAUGAAGAACCAAUGAAGCUUCCCAUUCAAAGUAAUUGAGAACUUUGGAGUGCAUACGUAGGUCAUAAUAAGAUAAGUCACCAUCUCAAGAAAGCCAAAUGCCAAAAGAACUCCUUCCAAGAAGUCCCAAUCAAUUUUAUCAUAAACUUUCCUGAAGUCCACAUUUAUUGCACAUUUAGGCAAGUAAGACUCCAUAUGAAAGCUAAAAAAGAGUUAUUGAGCCAUCAAGAUGUUAUCCCUUAUCCAUCUGCCCUUCACAAAGGCGCUCUGAAAUGGGCUUAUUGUGCUCUUCAAAUCUAAUGCCACCCGAUUAGCUAGCACCUUGGUAAUGCACUUGUAAAUAGUGUUGUAGCAGGCGAUAAGUCUAUAAUUAUCAACGGAAGUGGCGUUAGGCACUUUAGGAACCAAAACCAAGAUGAUGUUGUUGAUCUCUCUUAGGAGUUUGCUGGAGGUGAAAAAGUCCAUGACUACCUUCGUUACGAGAGGUCAAACUGUCCCCCAAUUUUCCUUGAAGAGCUCGGCCGUGAAUUCGUUUGGUCUAGGGGCCUUUCCCCUAGGCAAGGAGAAUAAGGUGUCCUGUACCUCCAAUUCAGUGACCAGCCUAGCGAGAAAAGCGAUUUGGUCACCCGAAAGAGGGUGCUAGAUGACCUCCUUCAACUCCCCGAUCGAAGGCCUGGCCAGCUUAGCACACGGCACCAGAAGGUCUUGAUAAUACUCAACAAAACGAUGUUGUACCAGUUGUGGCUCAAUAAUUUGGUUCCUCGAGGAAUUGAGUACAGAAAGAAUUUUGUUCCUCAACUAUCUCUUAUUGACAUAUUGAUGGAAGAAUUCAGUAUUGCGGUCUCCCUACCUGAGCCACAUGACCCUCGACUUCUGUCUAAAGAAUGACUCCUCCAAGGAUCACAAGUCAGCAAAGGUACACCAUUGAUCAUUUUCUACCUCGGUAAGAUCAACAAAAAAGGGAUUGUACUGCAAUCAUGCCUGUGUGAUCUUUAAAGCUUUCCUCGCUUCUAGCAUCUUGGCGGAGAUAUUAGAGAAUAACUCUUUAUUCAACUGCUUGAGCCGGUAUUUAAGAGCCUCGAUCCUGGCCACAAGCCUAUACAUAGGAACUCCCACACCCGGAUCUUCCUAGAUUUGAUUGACAAUUGAAUUCAACUCUAGGUGCUUAUCAAAAAGUCAAAGAACUUGAAAGGCUUCCUCCGAGAAAUUGGGCCAAGCACCUUGACCACCAUAGACAUGUGAUCCGAGAUACCCGACGCUAGGAAGGAAGAUUCCAAGUAGGAAAAGUCAAUGCUCCACUUAGGAUUCACCAAUACCCUGUCAAUCUUUCUAGCCUUUCUAGUAGCCCUCGAGGAAAUAGUUCAAGUAUAUCUAAAGCCUACAAAUCUCAAGUCUUCCAGUUUGGCCCGCUCCAAGCAUUGACCAAAUUCAUCAAAACAAGGGAUCAAAGCAUCAGAGUUGUGACAGUUUGAUUUUCUACUUCUGUUUUCAUUUGAGUAAAUCGGGCUUUUCAUCGACAUGCCUAUAGUACUAUUCUCUGAACCGAUCACUUAGAAGAUAACUAAACUAGUUGGGGGAGUCAUUAAGGGAUUUUAAUACAACAGGUUUGAGAAUUUGACCAGGAAUCGACAGUUCGACCGUAUUUGUGACAGUCUGAUUAAUUGAAUUGGGCUUUUCGUCAACGUGUCUAUAGUGCUAUUCUUUAAACCGAUCACUCAUGAGAUGACUAGACUAGUUGGAGAAGUUAUUAAGAGAUUUUAAUGCAAUAGCCUUGAGAAUUUGACCAGGAAUCAACUGCUCCACCAUGUUAAUCUACAGGGGUCAUUGCGGCACAGUGGAAAAUCUAUCAGAGACCAGAGAUAGGUCAAUUCAAUUGGAAUACGUAAAUAGGCAUUGGUGAUUCCACCUAAUUACACAAUUCUCAUCGAUUGGCACUAAACCGAUUUUUCUGUCAUUUUGGUACCUUGUGCCCGUAAUUGAAAUCUCGAGAUUUUCACGACAAUCGAGAGUUGCCAAUGAGUCGAAGAUAUACAUUGUGACUCGAAAAUAAUCGAUCACAGGUCAUUUGCACCGAAAAUUUCCAAAAACUACUCGAUAGUUAAGGUUGCGCUAAAAUCAUAUUUGACUGAAAGUAAAUGAGGAAAUGAUGCCGAAUUUAGAAAUUGAGAACCCUAAUGUGUCACAAUUAAUCCUAGGAAUGUUGUUGCAUCUUUUCAAGAUUUAUUGACGACAUGAAUGGUAAGUGAAAAAUGCAAAUGCAGCAAAUUAAAGGAAUAAGAAAAAGACCACAUUUUAAAUGGAUUGUUAAUCCUCAAUGUGGAACCAAUGGAAAUAAGAAUUAUAAGAGUGAAUUGAGGGCUUAUCUUGGUUAGUAAGGUUAUUAAAUGGCCAAGUGAAAGAAAGGAAAAAAUGAAGGAUAAAGGCAAUGAAACUCGGAUGCCUUCAUGUAAGGAUGAAUUUACUUACAUUCGAAUGCCAUUUGAAGGGUAAAGAGUAAUUCCAAAGAGGGGUAGGCCCCUUGAGAGUAAUGGGGACUUAGGUUCCAUGGAAAAAUGGGGGAGGGGAAAGUCAUUGGAAAUGGCUGCAAAUUCGGAGCUAUGUAAACCAAGGGGAAUUUCAGCAUCAUUUGAGUCUCAUUUGAAAGGGAUAAGCUUGUUUAGAUGUGGUAGGGCACUGACAAUGAAAGGAGUGAGUUUUUCCAUGGAUAAAGUACCAAGGCCCUUGUGGAAAAACAAAAAUGUUGUGGAAAUAUGGAAGGAGGGACCCCCAUGGUCCUUUUUCCUCCCUCUCCUCUCCCCCUCCGUGCAAUCCCUUCUCCUCAUUGGCGCCAUGCGUCUACCCUUUUCUUUCUCUCUCUCCUCCUUUCUUUUUAUUUCCCUUUCCCUUUCCUUUCCUCAGCUGCAAAUCCUGUUGUCUUCUUCUUCUUUAAGCUAGUUUAUUCGACCCUUCCUGCUCCCUCUUAGACGACAAACCAGCGACCAAGAAAACAAAAGAAAGCUAUGUUUUAACAUUACAAAUUUUCUAGACCCACAGAAGCUUCGACCCAACUACCUUUAUGUUUCGCUUCUCUUUCCUGUGGCCUUUAUUUACUGAGCAACCAUCUCCACUAGCAAGCCCACAGCCCUCUAAAAUCAACACCGCCAUUUCCUUUGUUGGUCGGAAACUCUUCAGCUUAGUUCACAGCUGUUGUCGCAACACCUUAGCUCAUUUCUCCACCGUUUCAGCUCAUCCUCACCACUGAAGAAGCCAAACCCUUCGCCCGUGUUGCCAUCCAACUACCGAAGCCACUCCGACAUCCCCGGAGGUCACGGCUUAGCUACUGCCGCUCAGUCAGCACCAGUAGCUUUGGAUUUCUAGUUAGGUAAGUUGUUUUUCUAAGGCUUGAUUAUGGGCUAUGUACCUCCGUUUAAGAAUUUAAAUAAGCUAAGGAAGGUUUAAAUGGGAUUAAAUAUAACUUAGUGUUAGUUUACAAAGGUUAGAUCAACCAUAGAAAAGUUUAGUAUUUGUUUAAAUAACAAGCUCAAAACCUUAGAAGAUAGUUUCGCCAAAGACAAAAACUAUUUUCCAUAACUAAUUUCUAGAUGCUUACGGUUUGCUAUUUUUAUAGAUUGAGAUGUGUUGUGAUUUUGAAGUGAUUUAUUUCCGAAGAAAUAUUUUAGACAUUUUCCAUCAUAAAAUAUAUUUUUCUCAGGAUUUUUGGGGAGUUAAAAGAAGAUUUUGACUCCAUUAUCUUUAAACAGAAAGUCAGACUAUAUAGGAAAUCCUGACCUAUUGGGAUUCUAUGGGUCUUUACUAACCCUUAGGGUUCGAAGUUCCAAAUGAUUUCUUCACAAAAGUUAUUUUUUUUUUCUUCUAGUUUAACAUACUCAAACUUUAUGGAUUAUUUGAUUGAUACUAAUGCAGGGAAAUGCUAAGGUUAAAAGAGUUGUGAGAAAUGUGACUAGGUUGUAUGUAGAGUGUAUUCUUCUCCUAAUUGAGAUUUAGGUCAUAAACUCGCUGAGAUGUGAUCUCACCCCAUUGUGGGAUAAAUUUUUCAAGUCCCUAGAUUGAGGCUUUUGAAGAGAAGUGUAGGAGUUGGCAGGAAGUGAAAGCUAGGUUUGUGUUCGGUUGCUGUAAGAAGUCGAUAGAUCUUCCAUCUAGUUUGGACAAUGGGUGACAGUUUACCCAUUUGUUAUCGAAAAGUCUGACAGGAUUGCUAGGGACCUCGUUCCCAUGGAUAAGGAGCUUAGAGCGUAGAUAGCCUAAAAGCUCUUCUUUUUUAAACAGAUCCAUGUCAUAUUAGACUUUUAUGUAUAUAAAUACUCUUGUAAAAAUAUGUGUGUUUAGUGUAAAUAUAAUCCUAUGUUUGCUAUCUCGUCUCUACGUUAUUUGGAGGUUAUUCUUAUUACGUUUUUGCUCGCAAAAUAAAAUGAAUGGGUCCGCAACCAAUCUCGGGAGGUUGCAAAAUUUUAUUAUUCGACCACUAAGCGAUAUGCAUGCGCUCAAGGUUUUCGCCGCGAUAAUGUUAGUCUGCAAAGGUGAUUGCGGUACAAUUGAAAAUAUAUCAGAAACUGGAAAUAUGUCGAUUCAACCGAAAUAUGUAAUUAGGCAGGGGCGAUUCCACCUAAUUGUAAAAUUCUCGUCGAUCAGCACUAAACCGAUUUUUCUGUCGUUUUGGUAUCUUGUGCCCGCAAGUGAAAUAUUGAGAUUUUAACGACAAUUGAAAGUUGCCAAUGAGUCGAAGAUGUAUAUUGUGACUCGAAAAUAAUCGACAACCGGUCAAUUGCACCAACAAUUCCCAAAAACUGUCCAAUAAUUUAGGUCACACUAAAAUCACGUCUAACUGAACUGUGAAAUUUAAUCCGAUUUUAGAAAUUGAGAAUUUUAUCGUGUCACAAUUAAUUCUAGGAAUGUCGAUGCAUUCUCUCAAAACAUUUUGACGAAUGUGAAAUUUUGAUGGAAAAUUCAAAUUACAAUAAGCAAAGUAAAAUUGGGGGAAAAAAGGCCGUAAUGUAAAGGGAUUUUGGUCGUUAAUGAAGAACCUUAGAAGAUGGGAAUUAUAAGGAUUUAAAUAAGACUUUAUCCUUGUUAACUAAGGUUAAGAAGUGAUAAAAUGAAAAAGAGAAAAGCUAAUAGAAAGGAAGUCAAAUUUGGAUGUAGACAUACCACGAGAAAAUCCACCACCAUUUGAGUUUCAUUUGAGGAGGAUAAGAUUGGUUUGAAGUGAUGGGCCACAUGAAAGUGAAAGGAGCUUAACUUUCAUGGAAGAAGGACCCAAGGCUUGUGGAAAUUGGGGAGGGGGACCCUCCAUGGUACUUUCUCUCUCUCUCUCUCUCUCCCCAUCUGCGUGUAUCCCUCCCCCUUGUGCCGUGCGACUACCCCUCUUUCUCUCCCUUCCUCUUUCUUUCCUUUUCUCAACCGUAAAGUCCCUUGUCUUCUUCUCCUUUAAGCUAUUUUGUUCAACCUCCCAUGUUUCUUCUUAGAUGACAACCCAACAGCCAAAAACAGAGGAGAGCUCUAUUUUAGUGCUGUGGAUUUUCUGGACUAGCAGAAACCUUGGCCAAGCUGUCCUCAUGUUCCAUUUCUCAUUUGCAACUGUCCUCACCAACGGCCUAGCAGUCCACAAAAACCAAUGAGAUUUCUGCAUCUCUUCGCCGGAAGCUCAAUGCCACUGCAUACGGCUGUUGCAGCAUUUCCACCGCCCAUCCCUCCUCGAUCUCGACUCAUGGCCCUCACUAGAAGCAGCCAUCCCUUUGUCAUUCCUACUGCCCAGUCACCGAAACCCUUGUUGCACCGGUGCAGCCCGUCAGUCAACUAAAUAGCUCCAAGGUGCCGCUGCCUCGCCUCCAAGAAGCUCACCCCGUCGAUGCUCGACCUAGUCUAGCCGAGAAGCCUGCUUCUGAGCAGUAGGGCGAGGGCCUUGCUGGCCUAAGCAGUAGGGGUGAUCGGGUCCAGGGUGGGUAGGGUCUAGACCUGGACCCUGUACCCGACCCUGUUAUAACAAGUUCUCUUUUUAUGGACCAUGUUCCCGACCCUGUUUGCAUUAGACCCUGUUCCCGACCCACCCUGUUUUUUCGGUCCGGGAACAGGGUUAACCUCGUUUAUAUUGGAACCUGUUUUGCAUAUGUAUCCAGUCAAAUGAAGAAACUUUCAUAAGUCAUGUCAUAAACACCCAAUAUAAAAGUAUCAAGACCUGCUUGAAAGUUGGAUAAAUUGGAUAUGUAUCUAGUCAAAUGAAGAAACUUUCACUAGAACCAAGAAAAAGGGAAAAAGGAAAAAAAAAAAAGGAAGAUCUCCCAAUGCUUGUGAGAAUUGAUAGAACAGAGAACUUCACUUACAAACAACUACAUCAUGAUCCCAAAAAUUUCCAGUUUCUAACAAAGAUAUUAGUGAUAGCACCAAGCACCACCACCAGCAAUACAGUUCAUAUUUUCACUUUAACUCUAAAGUAAUAAUUACAGAUGUGCACAAUAAUUAAAAUAUGUCUCUUAAACAAAGGCAAGAAGCAGAAAGAAGUGACAGGACUAAGUUCUGAUUUAAAAUGAAAGGAAAAGCACCUCAUGGAGCUUAUUCCUUCUUCCUUUAGAUUCAAUAGGAAAGCGCCUCAGCAUGAAAAACAACCUGGAAUUAUUUGACAACCACACUAAUCACAAGGAGAAAAUCAAACCACACAGAGUAAGCAGAACAUAAAAGUUCCAGAUGCUCUGAGUAGUAAACUAGUACAUUAACUUCUAAUAAUUACCUUCCUCUAUAAAGCAAGAAGCCCAAUGCAGCUAAUAUUGACACAACCGUGAGAAACAAGAGAGAGUUAACAGAAUGACAUACAACAUUGCAGUCAACACAAAAACCAUCAGUUAACAAAAUGACAUGUUACAUCGACACAAGAAGAAUACCAUGAGGCGCUAAAUUUAAGUGCUAAUUGACAAGCCCCAUUUUCACUACAUAUGAAAAGGAAAUGGGAUUGAAAGUCGUUUGCAAUAAACGAAAAGCUAAUUCAGGCUCAUGAACUAGAAUAUGCGCCUCUCCGGAUCCACCUUUAUGACCAACAGCAAAAGAUAGAGCAUUUUCCUAGAAAGCAACUCCCGCAAGCACAAUCACUUGAAAAUGUGAUUCCUCGAAAUCUGGGAGCCCUAAGCAACUACUCCAGCAAUGGCCGAAUGCGGAAAAAAAUCUAAUUCGAAUGCGACAGAAUGCGCAAACUACACAGGUCGCGGCAACGCAAUUCGUACGAGAAACCCUCGGCCGUCCUGGUGCAGAAGCCCGAAAGGGGGACUCACUUUGGGUGGGAGGUUGAAGAUGUCGAGGCAAAUCCUGCUGCCGUUGUCGAUGUUGGGGUGGUAAAUCGGUGUCUGGACCAUCACGCUCAGAGGCUGAAACAGGUAGCUGAGACAUUCCACAACAACGACCCUCGAAAUCAAAACUCAACAACAAAGACAACUCUCUCAUCUACUGAACCAAAACCAAACCCCUAAAAAAGAAAAUAUUGAAAACGCACCAUUCAGGAAUCUGGAUCUUGAGCUUGAAGACGCCGCCGGCAUACACGAACUCUUCGGGGCCUUUGAUUUCUGGAACGAACGACACUCGACACGAUCGGCGAUUCGGCGGUGAAAACCAACAAAAAUUAGGGGGGCGUGGAGUAGGGAGAGGCGGAGUGGCGACGUCGGGAUCUCACCGGCUGCGGGUGUCGCGGGAGGAAGGCGAUGGUGGGCGAGCGGAAGCAGCGUCAGCGCUCGGAUGGAUCGGCGGAGGUCGCGAGCUUGGGGAAGUUUGCGGGUGUGAGAGCUUGAGAGUAAAGAUAGAAAAAAAUUAGGGUUUUUGGACUACCUUAAAAACCGGUUCUCAAACCGGUUCCCGAACCGGUCCGAUCGAUCCGAUUCCCGGUUGGGUAACCCUCGGAACCGGUUCCCGGACCGGUUCAAACAGGGUCUGCACUUUGGGAACCGGUUCCUGGACCGGUUUCAACCGGAAUCGGUUCCUGACCCUGUUUUCCGGGUGGGCCGAUCCGAGAAUCGGGUUGACCCGGUUCGGUUGCACACCCCUACUAAGCAUGGCCAUCCGAAGGUGUUCUAGUGCCUCCUUGGAUCGAGACCUCGCCGCCGUUGCUCCGCCAUUGCUGGGGGUCUUUAGCUUUUAAAUUAGGUGAGUCAAUUUCCUAAUUUCUAAUUAGUGGUUGAUUACAUUUCCUUAUGAGUAGGAUUAAGUUAAAUAAGAUUAUAAACUAGUUUAGUUAGGAUAAUGACUAGUUAGAUAGUUAGUUGAGAUGAGACUAGAUAGUUAGACUAUAUAAUUAGGUUGGUUAGACUAUUUAGUUAGAGACUUAAAUAUAUAGUUAGGUUGGUUAGACCAUUUAGUUAGAAACUUAAAUAUUUAGUUAAAUGCGUAGACUAAAAGGUUAUUGCAAGGCAUUAGUUUAGUCGAACAAUUUGAUAAUUGGUUCUAGUUGCAAUCAAAUUGAAUUGAUAGUGAAAAAUUAUAAAUGGUAAUUAAUUAAAUAAUUAAAUUUAAUGAUUUAACUAUAAAUUAGUUAAUUAUUUAAUAUUUUCCGAAAAUUAUACCGGGAUAACUAGGGAUCGGAAUUUUGUGUUGAUUUCAAUAGUAUGCUCAGUUUAUACAAUUAAUUACUAAAUUGUGAAAUUGAAUGACAUAUUUUUUUUUGUCAGUCCUACUCUAUUCCUACUCUACAUUCACUCUCAGACUUUUGCCCUGCCUCUUGCAGGGUGUGGGAGUCGAAACCCACUCCUAAAACUUACGCGUCCCCACCCCAUCCCUCCCUAAGAAUGUGGGAAUUUGAACCCAUCACCUCCCCCUUCAAUGUUAGAAUGGUGGCCACUAGAGCGAAUCCUAGUGGUUAAUGACGGAUGUUGAAAUUGAGUAUUUGUCUCAAUCAAUGAAAAUUCAGUAUUUAAGUUGGAAAAUACCAAAGGCAAAACUUUUGUUACCAAAAGCGGGUUUUGACUACUAUAUAAAUAGUGGGGCUUUAAAAGAGGAAUUAUCAAAUUUUUUUGAUCAUACUGAUUGUGUAUAUGCCCACAAUUAAUAUGAAGAAAAUAGGCCAUGAUCACCAUUUUAAUUGAGGUAUUUGAGUGUAAUGCACGAUGUCCUAGGCUGAAAUUGGAUGAAUGCAUGAAUGAUAUGAGAUGCCGUCACGAGCCUUUAGGCCGAACGAUGCUCUUUCGAGAAUGCCCCAAGUCAACAGAUGUUAAUCGCAAUGGAGGCUCGACCGAUGCUCCUUCGAGGAAUGUCGUCUAGAUGUAGACGUUGACAUGCUUGAUGGUGCGGACGAAACCCAGUUAAGCCGGAAGAUUGCUGACUAUUGAGUCGGCCAUGACCAAUAAUCAAUUGGAACGCAUGAAUGAUUGAGAUUGAGGGACUUGAUUAGGAGACUGAAUUGUAUGCUACGGUAUGGGACAUACCAUAACGAUUUGGUCUGGUAAUAUGGGCCCGUGAAUCGAUGACAAUAUAUAUUUAUGUGUAUACAUGUCGAGAUGUUCCACUGAUGCUUGAUUUCAAUAUAAUUAUAUACAAAUUUGAAUGAUACUAACAUGCAGGAAGACACGGGUGUUACAUGACUUUUGGGGAGAUAUGGUUAGACUACAUGUAGGUGUACUUUUCUCCUAAUUGGAAUUAAGGAAUGAACUCGCUAAGAUGGCGUCUCACUGGUUAUUGUAUAACCAUUUUCAGAUCCCUAAAUGGAGGAUUGUCAAGCGAGGUGCAGGGGUUCUCAAGAAGUGAAGCUUAAGUUUUUCUUUAGUCUAUGUCAAAUGUCAAUAGGUCUUCCGUCUAGUUUGGACAGUGGGUGACAGUUCAUCCUUUUGUUAUCGAGAAGUCUGACAGGAUCGUAGAGGACUCCAAUCCCAUGGACGAGAAGCUCAGAGCAUAGAUACCCUGGAAGCUCUUGUUUUUUUUAAAUAGAUCCAUGUAGUGUUGGACUUCUCUGUAUAUAGGUGUUGUUGUAUUAUAAGUGUGUUUCGUGAAAAUAUCGUCCUACGUUUCUAUCCCACUUUUGUGUUAUUUGGAGAUUAGUAUUAUGUUUCCAUGAGUGCCAUAAAUUGAAUGGGUCGGCGACAAUUUCUGGGGCGUCGCAAAUUGUAUUGACCACCAAGGAAUGUGCAUGCACUCGAGAUUCGGGUCGUGACAAGAGCCACCAACAGUCAUAAGAGUCUUUAAUAGCAUUGAAGUCCCCCAAAACUAAUCAGGCUGAGUUUUGCAAAUCAAUGCUCCUAAGGAUCAAGUCCUCCCACAAAGGUCUCCGGAGCGAAAAUGAGUGAUCGUCAUAGACAAAAGACAUAGCAGACCACCCUGGAAUCCAACCGUAUGAGGUUCCCAUGAACCGCCUGCUUAGUAAUUGCAAAAGCUUCAAACUUAACUUGUAAGGGAUCCCGGCCAACUUAGAUCCUACCCUUAGGAGAGAACUCAUAGUUUGCAAGCCAACACCACUCUCUGAUCAGUUCCCCAAAAUUGGAACUAAAGAGAUUAUGUGGCACCUUCGUUUCCAAUAAAUCAACACAGAACAAGUGGCUUGAUGAGACAAGGUUUCGGACCUUCGCAUGCUUGAUGGGGGAAACAAGGCCCCUAAUAUUCCAGCAACCGUCGAGGCUUCAACAGGGCUGAUGGGGUCCUCUCCAUCGGGAACAGGGGCAUCCGUCUUAAUAAGGAUCUACAAGCAUGUAAGGGCCCUACGAGUUGACGUCAAGGGUAGAGACUUCGCAGCUGCAACAACAUUUUGCUUGGUCAAUUGUUCCUCAUCACUUGAGCUAACCGAAAGGGUUGGAGCAAAUUCCCUAGGAGAAGGGGACUUCUUUUUCUUUCACCUAACCUGUUGCCACUCCAAUUCAUGCUCCCGAGAGCCCUCCACCCUUGCUAGAAUAGGCUCGAGGCGAUGGCUCACUGCAGGAGGGGCUGGGCUGGUCUGAGCCUACUGUGAGCCCACCUCCGAUUUAGGGACUGCUGGAGAUUCCUCACAGUUGUGUCCAAAAGUGCCACACUUCAAGCAUUCAGUCGGUUUCUAUUCAUAUUCAAUGGCAAUUGAUCGAGAGACUCCAUUCAACUUCACAUUAGCCGAAGAGACCCUCGACUGGUUAACUUGGAACUAAACACAAACCCUUGCAAAAGAAAUCAUUCGCAUUUACUCCGUGCAGUGAUCCACAUGAAGAGGCUUACCAACAGCGCUUGCUAUGGCACUAAUCGCUGAUGUCGACCACAGGUCGAGGGAGAGAUUCUUCAAGUGGAUCCAAACCGGCACCAUGAUUUGCUUUUCCCUCUUCAACUCUAGAAGAGGUUCCAUUGUUGCAAGAUGAUAGGGACUCUUGCAAUGGUUAUAGGUCCAUCCUCCAAUAUCUUCCUCUGGAAAGCAGGGUCGAGGAUAUAGAAGAAGAAAAACCCCUGAUUGUCCGCGGAAACCUCAAGAAGCUUCGCCCUCAAUUGUGUUUAAGAGAAUCUCAGUGAGUUGGAAAGGCAUCCUCCUUCCUACAUAGUAUCCAACGAGGCAUUCAUAUCACUUGGGAUCCACCGCAUCAAACACCUCCUCCGAAGAUUAACAGUCGGGAUAUUGUCCUCAAAUGAAGGGGGAACGUUGGUUAGAUCGUACUCCUUAGUUGCAAGCUGAGCAACGUUCGCCCACGAUUGGGGAGGUGAGGGCUUGGAGUUUCCCGACUGCUUUUGCGGGGCUUGAGGCUUCUUGGACGCCAACCUCUCACACGACUACGUCCUCUUGAGUGUCCUCCCCAGGCCGAGGCCUUGGGGCGAUCCCGGUUCAGCAUCGCCUUUGCUGCAGGGCCCUUUCCCGUGACAGGGACGACUAGGCAGCCAAGUUUCGAGAAGAAAUGCUGAGUCCCUUCUCAGUACCUGCACCCAUUUAGGCCACAUUGCUCGGUUCACCCACCACAGUAGGUGAAGCAGCCAUAAAACAGCAGAAACCAACACUAAAACCCCCUGAACAACCUUCUAUAGUACAAGCAAAGCAGAGGGGGUCCAUACCAAGGCAAGGCAAGGCAAGAUCUUCAAUAGGUCAAGGAGGGAUACUGAGGAUUGUAAUCUCCACAGUAGAGACGCUUUGGGCCGCUCCGAAACCCAGCACGAGCAGAAUCAGGUGAAACAGAGCAGCAAAUCGCGUGCUAGGGCAGAACCCCUUUCCACUAACAGCACCAAGCAGAGCAAGGCUUAUGCGGGAAGAAGAGGGGUGCUGAGGAGUCACAAAUCAACAGCAAGGGCCGCCAAAGGAGCUUUGACACCCAGCACAAACAGAACAAGGGCCGAUAGAGCAGCAAAUCGAUCGAAAUUUAAGGUAAGGUAGAUGUGGACUGGGGGGCAAAACAAAGCAAACCGCUCGGUGAGGGACAGGAGGAAGGUCAGCUGAAGCUACCCUCCAAAUCUCAACCGAAACCAAUGGCUACAAACUUCGGGAUGAGCAGAAGAACAGACGAGAUGAACAGGAGCUGAGUCUCGCCCUAGAGAGAAUCCCGGUGAACAGUAAAGCGAGAAUGCACAAUUGGCCCUCCUCUAAAGCACGAAGCGGAAAAUUCUCUAUUUAAUGUCGAAUACUCAAAAAUUCAUGGGCUUGUAAUUAAUGUUUAAAAUGAGUCAUUGUUAUGAGUUAUGAUUUUGUAAUUAAUGUGAGUCAUGGUUAUGAAUCAUGAUUUUGUAAUUAAUGUUUUUGGACAGAGAAGUGGGCCGUGGAUCGUGUUUUGUAUCUCAAUAGUAUUUAAUAGUGUUCAUUCUGGCCUGUUGAUAUGCACUUCGUGUGUUCUUUUCUGUUGGCACAGAAAUUAGAAUGGCAGCUGAACAUAUUAUCCUGGGAUGGAUUUCCUGAAUCAGUCAGGCCUUGAGGACACACAGUUGUGACUGCCGUUCUCCGUACUCCAUUUUUUUAUGUGUUCUUUUUUCGAUUUUUACUUCAAAAAUUGGAUAGACCUAUACAGACAUUUUCAGGGGUAGAACCUGCUUUGGCGUCAAGUGGGUUCACGUUCGUAUCGGGUGGACUGGUUGUAUCAUCUUCUGACAUUUAGCUGUUAGUGGAUUAGAGGCUGUUUGAUUGGGUUGUUAGAUGUUUGGCAGUCUCUUUGUCUCAUUGAUGUCCUUUGAUUAGGACUCUGAAGUUGAUUAGAGUUGCAGCCAUUGAAAUGGUGGGGUUGCACUUGCUUUACACACACGCAACUUGAACACUGUCUGUCUGUCCUUUUCUUCACUUCUCCUCAUCUAACUAGAUGGAUGAUGGACCCCAUAUCAUGAAUUAUUGAUCCAUUGGAAGCAACAUUGAAGAGAUGUCUGUUGAGUUAUGGAAGAGCAAAUAUGCUUAGCAGAAUUAGGUGGAUGAAGUUUGGAUAUCAUUCGAAAGGAAAUGUUAUGGUGGCCCCUUUCUUGCUCUUUCUCUUAGGUCUUUGAGGAACUAAGACUUCACAUGACAUGUGCGCAUGGCAUGUGUAACUAUUUAUUGUCAGUUUCCAGUUUGGAUGCUGUUUGCAGGGUGACUUCAGGUCUGAUGAACUUGAGAAGUGUAAGGAAAACUUACUUAGUAUUAUUCAAUAAAGUUUAAUAUAUAUACACCAAAAAUAAACCCUAAAAGUGGUAAAGACUAAUUUACCCUAAGACUAAUUUACCCUUCUUACUCCUAACACUCCCCCUCAAGCUGGAGCAUAAAUAUUAAUCAUGCCCAGCUUGUUACAAAUAUAUUCUAUCCUCCCAUUACCCAAGGACUUAGUAAAGAUGUCUGCAAGUUGUUCACUAGUUCGAACAUGACUGGGAAGAAUUACUCCAUUCUGCAACUUCUCUCGGAUAAAAUGACAAUCAACCUCAAUGUGUUUUGUUCUCUCAUGAAUCACGGGGUUGGAAGCCAUAUGCACAGCAGCUUUAUUAUCGCACCACAGAGUCAUGGGUACUAAAUCUUUAAAGCCUAACUCAGUCAAUAACUGUCGAAUCCACACUAAUUCACUGCAGAGCACUUCCAUUUGUUCAUUAUAGUAACCUGGUUUUUGUUACACAAUUAGUGUUCUGUAUUAAGUUUGGUACCUACCUUGACCUUGUAGCCAUAUGAAAGCUCUAAUUCUGAUGAAGAGACAAUUUCUGUCUUGACCAUGUAGCUAUAUGAAAGCACCCUAAUUAUGAUCAAGAGACAAUUUCUAAAUAUUUGUUCCUAUUACUCGUUAUCCUUCUCAUUGAUGCUUACCUUGCAAGGCCAUAUCAUUCACAUUAUCAGCAGUGAAGUGAAAUUGAGAACUUACCGAGAUGCUGGUCACACCUGCAGAUCUUUGUACUGAUGUAGAGGUCUUGGUGUAUCUCCGUCGCCUCCUAGGACCUGAAUUCAUUGUGGGGUUCGCCUAUGGUUUUCCUUCACAGUUGGUUAAGCAUGAUGCAAUCUCAUCUGACUAGGAACAUGUAUUACUCUACUGUCUUGAGAUUUACUUGUACGCUUAUAUUUGAAAACAUCUCUAGGACCCAUGAUUAUGAUGAUGGAGCUAUUGGUAGAAGUUUGAUAUUUGUAUUUAACUCCUUUCAGAAUCCCUCUCUUUAAUUUGACGUUUGAACGAAGUUAUGAUGCUCUCUCUCUUGACUGUUCUUUCUUUCGUUGGAUAACAAGUGGGAGAAGCAGGUCAUCUUGCAGAUUAUGAAUCUGUUUAUGUGAAGAAGCUGGGAUCUUCUAUUUCCAUUAACCUCAGCUCCAGGUUGUUGUGCUGAUUUCGAAUCUGUCUGGAGCCAGGUCCAUUGAUCUGUGUUCCUUAGCUCCUUUAUUCAUCAUCUCUUCCAAUUUUCUGGCAUUGUUAUUAUAUAUGUAUAUUAUGUGGUGGCAGAGCCACGCUUAAUUGCAAGGAGGUAGUGUCAACGUUAGUGAACUGUCCACAAACUUUCUGUAAAUCCAUGUUGAUAAGAGGGGUGAGUUUUAGCGUGAUUAAUGUGUCCUUCGUACUAAGAUGGGCUAUGACACUUGUUCUGGAUCAUUUUACAAAUGUGACAUUUGUAUUCAUAUGUAAAAGGAGCUUCUGUGGCACAAGUAACAGUUUUUAGCAUGCGUUUGUAAACAGAGNNNNNNNNNNNNNNNNNNNNNNNNNNNNNNNNNNNNNNNNNNNNNNNNNNNNNNNNNNNNNNNNNNNNNNNNNNNNNNNNNNNNNNNNNNNNNNNNNNNNNNNNNNNNNNNNNNNNNNNNNNNNNNNNNNNNNNNGCAACUAUGGUGGAUAGGUUGGCUACAUAGAAUGCAAUUUUGUCUUGAUUAAAGAACUAUACCUUAUCCCAUCUGGAGUAGAAAACCUGCUGCUCUGCUGAAUGCUUUUGUUUCCUUUUGUCGUAGUUAAGUCAACAGAAACAUCUAGAAGAUAAGAGUUGUCUUCAUUGUGAUGUGGCCAGAGGAGAGCGGGACCAGACCACUUGUUGCUGCUCAAGUAGGGAUGGAUGUAGAGUUGUUGGAAUAUGUGUUGUCAAGGGAGCAAUUGAAACUAGAUGGUUGCCGUACUGUAAUUCUCAAUUCCUAUUGAUAAUCUGCUCCUUUUUAUCCGUGGAUGUAGGUCAAUUUGGCUUAACCACGUAAAUUUUCAUGUGUAUCUUUUGGUGGUCUAUUUUUUUUUUCCGUGUCAAUGGUCUAGGUUUAUAUGAAAUGACAAGAUAGAGAUAAGACCUUCGUUACUUAGCUCUCCCAUUCUAUAAGUCGUAAUCAAUAAACAUGGUAUCUUCGUCUAAUAUUAAUGUUGGAAAAUACUCACAAAAAGAGACAUUCAUUAAUAUCUAAUAUGAAAGUUUGAAAUACUCGUAUGAAUUUUGCUAGUAAAUAAUCCUCUAAUGAUGAAGGAGAUGAAUAAAUUGACAUGAGAAUGAGUCAAAUUACUUUAGUUGCUUUGCAAAUUGAUGAUACUUUAUUUUUCGGUCAGUAUUUUUGUUGUAAAAUCAAGGAUAACAAAUUGCCAUGUGCUAUCUGUUUUGCAAUUGAAACUAUCACAUGUAGAAUCCUAGCAUGAAAUAGAAGCAAAAACAUGUUAAAUUGACAAAAAAAUCAUGGCAAAUCUUCCAUAGAUAACAAGCUUACGGUUUGACACUCGUUUAUAAACUCAUAAACUAAGUAGUCAUGGAUUGAUAAGAAUUUGUAUAAACAUAAUGGUGUGGUAAUGUAGUCCAAAGACAAAAAAGGGGCACAAGAACUUUUCAACAUCUUUGGCCAAAUUUGAGGACGAGGACUCCAAUGGGGAGAAAAGAGGUUCUUGUUGGUGGAGAGCCACUUGUCCUAGAUAAGAUUGUGCUAGCAAAAAGCUAUUCGAGUUCGAUCACCUUUUCUUUCUUUGCUAGCAAGUUGUUCAUGUGGUUGAAUUAUCUCGAAAAUUCUUUUCCUACUAAUCGCUAAGUAGUAGAAUCAAUCCCAAUCUUCUAAAGAGUGCCCAAUUUCAUCUCAACAUAUAAUCCCAUCAUAAAAAGAUCCAAUCGUUCUAAUUUAUUUCCCAAGUCUUCUAACACUUCCGAUGGGAGCAAAUAUUUCGUUAGAUAUCUUCUCAAAUUUCAAUUUCAUCCUUGAAGAAUGAAAGUUUAUCUAAUCUUAUACUUCAAGGGAGGAUACUUAAAAAUUUCAGGGGGAAAGCGGCAGGAAGAAGUCAGGACAAGUGUUCAGAAAAAUUCUUUACGCAAUAAAAGGACUGAAGGCACCGCGUGCGUCCCAAGCACACGCGGUCGGAAUUGGCAGCCCACCGACUUUCCUAAACGAAACCGUCAGCAGAAGAUCACAGCCGUCCAAUCACAGCUGGCUUCGGAAUUUUUUUUAUUAUCGGACGGUCAAUCCGAAGUCGGUGUAUCCUUCCCUAAAAGUAACCGUUGUCCCCGUCCUCUCCAUUCCCUCUUCAUUACGCGUUUCUCUCUCGCCUCUCUGGCCAUGGCGUCUGGAGAUGUCGUCUUCCCGAUUGAGCGUUCUCCGUCGGCCCUUCUUCGCUUUUGUUUUCCGUUUCUUGAUCGAUUGAUUGUUGAUGGGGGCCGAUUGCUUUGUUUGUCCUUGAUUUUGUGAAGCAUCUUCUGGUUGCAGAGAUCCACUUCUAUGUUGCGGGAGAUUCUUGAGGGUUUCGCUUACCCUACGAUUUUUAUUGGCGUCUGGCGAUAUCAUCUUCUUCCGGAGAGAAGACGUGGUUGUAGCGAUGAUCCCGAUUGAACGUUUCUCCGUCGGCCUCUCUCCUUUUUGGUUUCCGUUUCUUGAUUGAUUGUUGAUGGGGGAUCGAUUGCUUUCUCGGUCUGAUUUUGCGAGGCGUCUUCUGGUUGCAGAGAUCCCCCCCUGUUGCGGAGAUUUUUGAGGGUUUGGCUCGGCCUACGAUCCCUUCGAUCCCUUCGAUUACUUCAUUCUGGAUUCUUGUUGUUCGGUGAAUUGGCAGUGUGGCUUCUUUCUUUCAUAUGAGGAUGCUGUCGCAGCAAGUGUUUGGUUUAGUGCUCCUUUUCUGACCGGUUGAUCUUUCUGUCACGAGCUGUUUCUGGAUUCUGUUAUUUGGUGAAUCCGCAGUGGCUUCUUUCCCCUUAGAGCGAAACUGCUCUUUCUCCUUUUUGGUUUCCGUUUCUUGAUUCAUUGUUAUCUCGGUCUUGAUUUUGUGAGGCGUUAUCUGGUUGCAGAGACCCACCCCUGUUGCGGAGAUUCUUGAGGGUUUCGCGCUUGGCCUACGAUGCCUAUUGGUUAUCGGAAUUAUUCAGUUUACCUCUUGUCCUUUGGUUGCUUAGUGAUUCAUCGACCGAUCGAUUGAACUUUGCGCUGUUGUUUUGACCAGAUCAUUCUGGAUUCUUGUUGUUCGGUGAAUUGGGAGUGUGGCUUCUUUCCUCUUGGAUCAUAUUUCCUGACGUCAGAGGAUGUCCUCAUGGGAAGUGCUUGGUUUAACUCCUCCUUUGAUCCUUUAUUGAAACAAUAACCUAUCGAUCUUUCUGUUAUUUGGUGAAUUUGNNNNNNNNNNNNNNNNNNNNNNNNNNNNNNNNNNNNNNNNNNNNNNNNNNNNNNNNNNNNNNNNNNNNNNNNNNNNNNNNNNNNNNNNNNNNNNNNNNNNCACGGGUGUUUCGUUUUUUUGGAGCAUUGAUGAUCAUUUGCUUUCAUCUUUUUGGCUGAGAUGAUGAAAGUAGUCUUUCAUGCGAUAGGCUGAAAUUUGGUGGUCUUGAUUGGAAUUUGUUCUUCGGUUUUCUAUUUUUGGGGGUUGAUUAUCGUCUAGUCCUGAUCCUCUCGCAGGUCGGAGUUUUGCAAGACUCGACAAGUGGUGAUCUGGUGCGAGCUGACGAUUGUCUGAAAUUGGAUAAGCUCUGUCUCUCUAGGCAGUAUUGGUUUGAAUGAAAUUUGUUCUCCACUCCCAUAAUUUUCCGAUUAAUGCGAAACCCGAUUCUCAUUCCUUCGGAGGUCUGUUUUGUCGAUGUAUGAUCUGUCAUGGUUCUUUCUUUGCAAGGUGUAAGCACCACAACAGAUCACUAUCCAAUCCAGAUCCGCUUGCUAAUGUCUCCUUCCUAGAAAUGAUCCCUACCUUCUGUUCUCAUCCUUCAAUCUCAUCGGGAGACGUCGUUAUGGGAAGUGUUUGGUUUAGCUCCUCCUCUGAUCCUUUAUCAAACCCACUUUCGGUACAAUUGUUUCACAAGCUGCUUCUGGAUUUUUGUUAUUUGGUGAAUCUGCAGUGGCUUCUUUUCUUCAUGGAGCAAAAGGGUUUGUCUGAGGAUGUCAAGGAUGACGACACCGGUCAGCUUGUUUCAUAAAAAACGGAUAUUUGGGCUUUUUGGAGGAUUGAUAAUCCUUUUGCUGCUGUCUUUUUUCUUGGUUGAGAUGAUGAACUAGUAGUCUUUUAGGCUGAAAUUUGCUGGUCUUCAUUGGAAUUUUGUUCUUCGUUUUUUUUUUUUUUUUUAUAAUCUUUGGGGGGUUGAUUAUUGUGUAGUCCUGAUCCUCUCACAGGUCGGAAUUUUGCUAGACUCGACUAAGUGGUGAUCUGGUGCGAGCUGAUGAUUGUCUGAAAUUGGAUAAGCCCUAUCGUCUCUCAAGGAAGUUAUCGGUUUGAAUGAAAUUUGUUCUCCAGUCCCAUAAUUUUGCGAUUAAUGCGAAACCCGAUUCUCAUUCCUUUGGAGGUCUGUGUUUUAUUGAUGUAUGACCUGCGAUGGUUCUUUGCAAGGUGUAUGCGUCACAACAGAUUACUAUCCAAUACAUAUCCACUUGCUGGUGUAUCCUUCCCAGAAAUAGUCCCUUCCUCAUGUUCUCAUCGUGCAUCUAUGAUUGUGCAUGCAUUCCUCAAUCGGCUGACACUCUUAUUCUUCAGAGGAGACAUCGUUCCUGAAAACGUACUCCUGGCCUGUCAUCUUUUCUUUUUAUUUCUUGAUUGAUUUUAAAAUCGGUUUGAUUCUGUUUACGCUAUGUUAUUUUCUGAAGGAACGCCUGGCCUCUCUUGGACUCUGCCAUGCUGUGGGCAUUGUUAGGGUUAUUGCUCGUCUGACCGUUGGUUGAUUUAUCAUUGAUUGAUUUGUCCAUUGUAUCAUGAGCUGAUUCUGGCAUUAACUAUUCCUUGAAUUGGCAGUGUUUUCUUUCUUCUCGGAGCGAUCAUUUUCUCUGAGGAUGAUGUCUGAGAGGACAAUGAAUAUGAUGCAGCUGGUCAGUUGGUUACAUAGAAUAUGACAUUUGGGCUUUUUGGUGGACUAAUGAUCUAUCUUGCACUGUUUGUGGUUGAGUUGAUCAUCUAAAGAAGCCUUUUGUCUUCAGGACAAACGAUGGACUGAAAUUUUGACAACCUUCUAGGCUUCUUUUUCAAAUUGAAAGUUUUACUGGUUUUGACAGCUGGUGAUCUGUUGCGUUUUCUGUGGGGCUGAGUUGAUAAUUGUUCGAAAUUGUUAUUGCUCCUGCUUCCCAGAUUUUGGGCAGUUAUUGGUUUGAAUGGAACUUGUCCUUUAUUCUGUUAUUUCUUUGUUAAUCCGAAAGAUUAGAUCUAGUUCUCUUCCCUUUGCAGAUCAGAUUUUGGUCGAGGCAAUACUUUACGUGGCCAAGUUCGAUAUGGAGUGUCUAUGAUCUAUGAUGUUCUUUCUUGCUGCAUAAACAUCAAUUUCUAAUUUGUCUUCCACUUAUGUUAUCGUCUAGUUAAGGUGGUUAUCAUCUAGUUGAGGUGGAACGAUCAGUUAUUCUCUUUUCUUCGCAGGUCAUAGUUUGGUCAAGGCAAUACCUUACCUCGUCAAUUUCGAGAUGGAGUGUCUGUGGUCCAUGAUGGUUCUUUCUUGCUGCAUAAGAAUUAAUUCAUAGGACAAGCUCUCCUUUCAGAGUUCUUUCUUGUCUGAACUACACAAUUGGUUUCACUUCACGGCAAAGUGGUAGCAUCUUAUUUUGAAAUGACGUACUUCAGAUAUCUAUCGCAAUUUGCAUUCUUAGUCUUUCUUAUAUUGUUUCUAUUUCGUAAUGGAAGAUAAUGGAAGAUGAUGGAUGAUACCAGUUGUUCUUUGGCAGAUUAGAGACUAUUUUAUCUUUGGGAUUGGAUUGGAAACUUUUGAUUAGUAUGUCUUACCUUUUUCUUUGAUGGAAACUAUCCUGCAUUUUAUUUGUCAUGGACUUUUUCCUUUCAACGUACUUUGUUACACAUUCAUUUCGAAAUAUGCAUUUGUUUUGACUUGGUGUGUAUGUCUGCUUGAAUUUUGUGUCAAUAAAAUGUUAAAUUUGGUUUAUUUGAAGAAUUUUUUGUCAGGUUCCUCUUGUGUUUAUAUUUUAUGAGAUUGAUGCUGUCUGCAUGGUAAUUUCCUACGCUGAGAUGUUAUUUUUGUGUGACAUAUUGCCUCUUUUUUCCCUAUGUUAUUUGGAGCUUGCAGGUUAGGUUCUUUCCCAAAAAAUAUUUAGUUUUUACAUUGUUUUAUGUGGUAGCAUUUGCCUUUUGCCAAAAUUUUACCAAAAGUAUAGCAUGGAAUGUUUUCACUUANNNNNNNNNNNNNNNNNNNNNNNNNNNNNNNNNNNNNNNNNNNNNNNNNNNNNNNNNNNNNNNNNNNNNNNNNNNNNNNNNNNNNNNNNNNNNNNNNNNNUCAAAAUGAUUAUGGAUUUUGGUGGAUUGGCAGUUGCAUCUUUCCUCUUGUAGCGAUCUCUCAUCCGAGCAUGUCGUCUAAGAAUGACACAUACAUAGAAGCUGGUGAGUUAACAUAGAAGAAGGUGAUUGGGCUUCUUGGAGGAGAGGUGAUCUAUUAUGCAGUCUUUGUUUUCUUGAGUUCUGAAGUAGCCUUCUCUGAUUGCAUUUUCAGGAUGAGCGAACUUUGAGGAUUUAUAGGCAUCUUGUAGUUUUGAUUUAAGUUUGUCGUAAGUUGAUUAUCUUCGGGGAGCAGUGAGAUAAUUAUUAUCAAGUUCUAAUUCCUCUACUGGAAGCUUUGCCAGGUUUGAGAAGUGGUGAUCUAUUGCCUUCUUCUGUAGGGUGAGUUGAUGAUUGUUUGAAAUUGGAUAAACAGUCAUUUUGUAGAUUCUAAGGACUGGUAUGUAUGAUGAGGUUGGUCAAUUAUUACUUAGAAUGACUGAGCUUUUCUUGAGUUUGACGAUCUAUUCACAUCUAUCUUCGGUUGGGUUGGUGUAUGGGCAGUGUCCUUGAUCAUCUUGAGGACCAGUUGAAGAGCUGAAAUUUUGAUAAACUCCUGCUGCGUAGGCACUUUGUUGAAUGUCAUUCCUCAGUUGAUUCCCUUGGAGUGGAAAGAUGACAAUUCAGCUUUUUCUGUAUGGCUAAGUUGAUGAAUUGCGGAGUCUGCGCUUUGUUUGAAAUUGGAUAAGCUCCCCCUUCUUGGAUUUGGUUCCUUUGAUGUCUUCACUCUAUAUGUGUACAUGGAUGAAUCCUUAAUCAAUUAAUAUUUUGGCCAUGCUAUGAUAGGGUGUGCGAGAACAAGCUCGACUUAUGCUUUGAGGGUUUGAAGUUUUACAAAAGAUCGUGGAUUGUCAUUGGAUGGCCUCUCUGUUGGACAUAGAUGCAAAAGGAGAGCACUAAGUUUGCUUAGUUGCAAUAAGAUAUCUGUAUGGAUUUUUGCUUAGCCGAUAUUCUCCACUUCUAUAAUACUUUCUUCUGGCACUGUCAUUGCUGGGGACAGUUUACAAGUGAGGGUUUUUGUAUGUGAGAUGGGCUGUUUUUAGUUUGUAGGGUGCCACCUUGGGGGCCUAAAUUGUGAAUAUUUUAGGUUCUCAUCGAUCCAUGGGACAAUGAAGGCUUUUCUGCAAGGGCUCAAGUGAUGCUCCAUUGCAAACUGUUAGCAUCUCAUUCUGAAAAGAUGAAUUGUGCUGUGCUUUUGCCUGUUUGCAUGAUUGGCAUAUGUGAUCAGGCCUCACAUGGGGAUGUUGACCGGACAGGCAUAUGGACAUAACUUCCUUGGCAUUGCUUGCGCUCAGACUGGUUCUCUCCUUUCUGCUGAUUCUCUCAUUUCUUAUUCAUCACAAAGCUGUGUCGUUUCAUGUAUGCUGUCAGCAGACAUGGCUGGUCAAGCUGGGAGGAGCAGACACUUGGUGCUUGGUUGCCAUGUUUGUCAAAUUUUUGUAGUUAUUUUUAAAUCGGUGAAACUGAAGGGGCAGACACAAUCCUGCAGUGAAUAAGCUUUGGUUUGAGUUUAACAUGUCUAGCGAGCAUGGACCCCUUCUGAUCUCUAUGAUACCCUAUGUACGAUGGAUGAACUUCUGCUUCNNNNNNNNNNNNNNNNNNNNNNNNNNNNNNNNNNNNNNNNNNNNNNNNNNNNNNNNNNNNNNNNNNNNNNNNNNNNNNNNNNNNNNNNNNNNNNNNNNNNNNNNNNNNNACUGUAUCUCUUGCUCUACAAGGGUUGUUCAAAGUCAUCUUGCUUGUAAUUGGAGAUACUUGACGGUUGCCUCAUGAUCAGGUUUAUUUGCUUUGGUAUUUUCUUUGAAGGGAUGAAUUUUGAAGCAUCUGGUUGGGUCUAUGUCCAGAACAAUGUCGGCGAAGGCUCUGAUUUUGGAUAGAAAGCUUAUCAAAGUUAUUAAGGUUCAAAGUCUCCCUCUGAGCAUACUAAUUUUGUGGCUUCCAUGCUGUAUGGACUUAUUCAGUUUUCCACGGGUGCUUGUUCCAGUUUAGAGCAAUCCAACUAAGGACUGUGUAAUCAAAACUGUUAGAGAAUCCAAGUUCUUGAGUUGGGAAGGCAGGAGGUUAUUAUUUAAUGCAAUUAUGUUCAGUUGAGAUACUGAAUUGUUGUUUUCCUUUUUAGAUCGGAGUGAUGAUCGGGUUCUGGAUCUUUCUACAGGGAUUGUCUGAUUCUUUUCAAGGAUUAGAGGAGAUGCGAUGAACAUAGAGUUGGAGUCCUUUUGUUGCAGAUCAUUCUGAAUUCGACCUGGUUUGUGUUGUAGUGUAUUUGACUUAGCAAGCUUUUGCUUUUUGCUUCUCCUGGGGUACUUUUCAUAUAAGUAGUUUAUUUUGGGUUCCAGUUCAAGUAUCUCUCUUUGAUGAUGACGUGCUCUCUAUCUUCGUCUACAAACCUCACUGGAUAAAUUUACAAUUACUACAGUUUAGUCUUGUGUCCAAGGCUAAGUCUCGUUGUUGCUUAGGUUGGUCAUAUGUGGCUACUUUUUGCUGCUUCUGGGGGUAUUUUUGGUAUAAUUGGUUAAUUUUGGGUGCCAGUUCAAGUCUCUCUCUUUGAUAAUGUCGUCCUCUCAUCUUUUUCUGUGAACUUCACUGGAUGAAACUCCUAUUGUGUCCUGUUUCAAGGCUAACUCUAGUGGUUGCUUUGCUGGUGGCACACAUGGAUGGCAGUUUGGCUUGUCAGAUGCUUCUAGAUUAUGCUCGAGAGAUGAGAAACUGAUUGCAGAUAUUGACCAACAUCAUGGCAGAUUAUUCGUUUCUACUUUCAAUUGGUUUGUUGCAGUCCGUAGAAGCUCUCUUGGGGAUUCUCUUUAUAUUGAAGUUCCAGUUGAUAUUACUCGCCUGACAAAUUAGUUUUAUAUUGCUUAUGUGUUGGAAUCCAAAGUUACUUGGCCACGAGCUCGCACAAUCCCUCUACAUGGAUUCACCCCUCAUUCUCCUCACUCAAUUAAGAACGAGUCGAUUUACUUGGCCUUUUCUUUCUUUGCCAUCAAGUCAUUCGUGUGGUUGAAUUAUCCAAAAAAUGUUGCUCCCACUAAAGGCUAAGUAGUAGAAUAAAUCCCAACCUUCUAAUGAGUGCAUAAUUUCAUCCUGAUAUUUAAUCUUAUCAUAAAAAGAUCCAACUGUUUAAAUUUGUUUCAAAUUUAUUUGCCAAAGUCCUUUAAUGCCUGCAGUGGCGUCUGGCGAUAUCGUUCGUCUUCUCGAUUGAGAGCUUUCUCCGUAGGCCCGUCUCCCUUUUCUAAUUCCGUUUCUCGAUCGAUUGAUUGUUGAUGCUCGAGGAUUUCGCUUGGCCUACGAUCUCUGUCGGCGUCAGGCGAUAUCGUUGUCUUCCAGAGAGGAGGAGAAGUAGCGAUCCCGAUUUGACUGUUGAUGCGGAGAUUUUUCAGGGUUCGGCUCGGUCUACCUUGCCUAUUGGUUUACGCCUCGUCCCUUUUGAUGGCUUAGCGAUUCAUUGACCGAUCGAUUGAUCUUUGCAUUAUGCGUCGUUGUUCUGACCAGCUCAUUAUGGAAUCGUGUUGUUCGGUGGAUGGGCAGUGCGCGGCUUCUUUCCUUCCUCUUGGAUCAUAUCUCUUGAGGAUGCCGUGAUGCCGUAAUGGGAGUGUUUGGUUUAGCUCCUCCUUUGACCCUUUAUUAAUACAAUGCCCGAUCGAUCUUUCUGUACAAUUGUUUCACGAGCUGCUUCUGGAUUUUGUUAUUUGGUGAAUCCGCCGUAGAUCCUUUCCCCUUGGAGCGAAAUUGUUUGUUUGAGGAUGUCAAGGACGAUGAACAGCUUGUUUUAUAAAACACGGGGUUGGAGUUUUGCUAGGCUGAAAUUUGUUGGAUUCUCUAGACCGAUGAUCCUUUUGCUGCUUCUUUUUUCUUGGUUGAGAUGAUGAAAGUAGUCUUUCAGGCAAUAGGCUGAAAUUUGCUGGUCUAGUCCCCGACAGGUUGGAGUUUUGCUAGACUGGACAAGUGGUGAUUUGCCGCGUGCUGAUGAUUGUCUGAAAUUGGAUAAGCUCUAUCAUCUCUCGUCGGUUUGAAUGGAAAUUUGUUCUCCAAUCCCAUAAUUUUCCAAUUAAUGCAAAACUCAAUUCUCAUUCCUCCGGAGGUCAGCAUAGCAUUUGGUUGACAUAUGAUCUGUGAUGGUUCUUUCUUUGAAGGUGUACACGCCACAACAGAUCAUUAUCCAAUCUGGAUCCACUUGCUGGUGUCUCCUUCCUAGGAAUUGUCCCUCCCUCAUGUCCUCAUCCUUCAGUCUCAUCGGGAAACAUUGUUAUGGGAAGUGUUUGGUUUAGCGCCCCCUCUGAUCAUUUAAAGAAACCACUUUCUGUACAAUUUUUUAAUGAUCUGCUUAUAGAUUUUUGUAAUUAUGGUGAAUUCACAGUGGUUUCUUUCCCCCUCGGAGUGAACUAUUUUUCGAAGGAUGGCAAGAACAAAUAAAUACCAUGACAUCGGUCAGCUUGUUUCAUAAAACUAGAUGUUGGGCUUUUUGGAGAAUGAUGAUCCUUUUGCCGUCUCUUUUCGGUUGAGAUGAUGAACCAGUAAGUAGUCUUUAAGGCGAUAGGCUGAAAUUUUCUGUUCUUGAUUGGAACUUGUUCUUCGGUUUUUUUAAACUUUGGGGGUUGAUUAUCGUCUAGCCCGGAUCCUCUCACAGGUUGGAGUUUUGCUAGACUUGACAAGUGGUGAUCUGGUGCGAGCUGAUCAUUGUUUGAAAUUGGAUAAGCUCUAUCGUCUCUCAAGGCAAUUAUCGGUUUGAAUGGAAAUUUGUUCUUCAAUCCCCUAAUUUUCCAAUUAAUGCAAAACCUGAUUCUCGUUCCUCCGGAGGUCAGUGUUUGGUUGACGUAUGAUCUGUGAUGGUUCUUUCUUUGCAAGGUGUACGCACCACAACAGAUCAUUAUCCAAUAUGGAUCCGCUUGCCAGUGUCUCCUUCCUAGAAAUUGUCGCUCCCUCAUGUCCUCAUCCUUCAGGCUCAUCGGGAGACAUUGUUAAGGGAAGUGUUUGGUUUAGCUCCUCCUCUAAUUCUUUAAAGAACCCACUUUUCUGUAAAAUUGUUUUAUGAUCUGCUUCUAGAUUCUCGUAUUUGGUGAAUUUGCAGUGGUUUGUUUCCCCCUCAGAGUGAACUAUUUUUCUGACGAUGGCAAGAACGAAUGAAUACCAUGACAUCAGUCAGUUUGUUUCAUAAAACUAGAUGUUGGGCUUCUUGGAGGACUGAUGAUCCUUUUGCUGCCUCUUUCAGUUGAGAUGAUGAANNNNNNNNNNNNNNNNNNNNNNNNNNNNNNNNNNNNNNNNNNNNNNNNNNNNNNNNNNNNNNNNNNNNNNNNNNNNNNNNNNNNNNNNNNNNNNNNNNNNUUGCUGGUCUGUAUUGGGAAUUUUUAUUUUUAUUUUAUAACUUUGGGGGUUGAUUAUCAUCUAGCCCGGAUCCUCUCACAAGUCGGAGUUUUGCUAGUCUUGACAAGUGGUGAUCUGGUGCGAGCUGAUCAUUGUCUGAAAUUGGAUAAGCUCUAUCGUCUCUCGAGGCUGUUAUCGGUUUGAAUGGAAAUUUGUUCUCCAAUCCCCUAAUUUUCCAAUUAAUGCAAAACCCAAUUCUUGUUCCUCCGGAGGUCAGCAUUUGGUUGACGUAUAAUCUGUGAUGGUUCUUUCUUUGCAAGGUGUACGCGCCACAACAGAUCAUUAUCCAAUCUGGAUCCGCUUGCUGGUGUCUCCUUCCUAGAAAUUGUCCCUCCCUCAUGUCCUCAUCCUUCAGGCUCAUCGUGCAUCUAUGAUUGUGCAUGCAUUCCUCACUGAGCCAACACCCUUUCUGAACUACUCUUCAGAGGAGACAUUGUUCCUGAAAACGCAUUCCUGACCUUUCUUUUUUUCUUUAUAUUUCUUGAUUGAUUUUGAAAUCAGUCUGAUUUUUUUAACACUGUUAUUUUCCGAAGGUUACGCCUGGCCUUUCUGGGACUGGCAUGUUGUGGGCAUCGUUAGGGUCUGUGCUCCUCUGAUCGCUGAUCGAUUCAUCUUCGAUUGAUCUUUACAAGUUCAAUUGCAUUAUGAGCUCAUUCUGGUAUUCACUAUUCCCUGAAUUGGCAGUUUCUUCUUUCUUCUUGGAGUGAUCAUUUUCUCUGAGGAUGAUGUCCAAGUGGACAAUGAAUACGAUGCAACUGGUCAGUUGGUU
rnacentral:lncRNA from 1 species